UCACAAACCACUCUCUCUCCGUCAUUCCACUCUCUUUCAUCUCUCACAUCUCUCUAACCUUCUCCCACAUCCAAAACCCUAACUGCCGUAUUUUUUAAUCCAAAGAACAGAUUUCACCGUCGAUUGACCGUGCAAACAUGAUUUCCCCUUCUUAUUCUCAUCAUUCGAAGGUCUUAUUUUGUUUUUAGGUGCAACCAGGAGUCGCCGAUUUUUCUAAAGCCCAAAAUCAGGUACAAAGAUGGCCGGUGUUGAAUUCGAUAACGACUUCGACGAUGACAUGCCAAUUGAUGUGUGAAAACAAUGAUGCGUCCGUCUAUAUUAGAUUAGAAUGUUUUUUAUUUUAAAGUAAGAGGGUGACAGAAAACAAUGAAUGGUUUGUAACUUACGUUUUGAAGAAUGUCUAAUACUUGGGAAUAUUGUUUUGCUAAUGCAUUGUACACUAUUCUCUGCAAUCUGUACAUUAUUCACUGUUAUGAUUAUACAUUAUUAGAUACUAUUUGUACAUUA